AAGGUGAUUGAUGGGAAGGAAUCUAUUAAAGUAAUGCUAAGUACAUCAAUUCAAUAGAAGGCAAUAUUUUAGGAUCUCCUAUUGAUCUGGGUGUUUAUACAAAUAUGGGUCGUUCUUCGGGAGCUGUAGCGAUCUCUCUUUCUUCACACUCUGAAUAAUAAAUGUUGCUUUUAUUUAAUAAACAUAAUAUAUUCAUCAAUAUCAA